AAAGGAAAGAAAGAAAAGAAAAGAAAAGAAAAGAAAAGAAAAGAAAAGAAAAGAAAAGAAAAGAAAAGAAAAGAAAAGAAAAGAAAAGAAAAGAAAAGAAAAGAAAAGAAAAGAAAAGAAAAAAAGCCCAAAUUAGGCAUCGGAUAUCACGAGUCACAGUGGUACUCAGAGUUCCUUCUGCUGCUACGAAUAGAAAUUACUGUUAAAAGUCUCUCUGAAAAGGUGUCUGUAAUUCAGAAUUUGUUUUAUGUGCAAUUUAAAGUAGCUUAAAUUUAUUUGUUCUCUUUCAGAAGUUAUACUUUAACAUGAAAAACACCGAAGAGCAUAAAUUGUUCUUUAUUUAACAAUUUUAGAUCUGGGAAUAUUUCAUUUAGAUCUAUUCUAGAUUUUACUGCUGGUGUUAACAUGCAGGUAGUAUUCUGUCAUUCUUUCAUUUUUGCAAUGAUCUAACAGUGAAUUUUUCACUGAUGCAACAUGCAGAUAUUAUUCUUUUAUAUGCAUUUCAGUAAAUAUUAAACAAGUAUAUAAAAUAUAUGUAAAGGGUACUGGGAAUUUAGGGCCUACUCUGUAUGCUUAUGAUGGAGGUUGUUGUCCACUCUUCCGAAAGAUGACACUCGAGAAUUCAGAUGACAUGGAAAAUACAGAGGUUUUAAAUAGUGAUACAGCUAAAAUGCAAAACUCAGCCAAUGACAGCAAUAUCCCUUCCAAACUCUUUUUAACAGACACAAACUACUAAAUCCUUUAACUACAGAAUUGAGUCUGACUGACAGCUGAAGAAAAGUACACCUGAUAUUUAGAGAUAAACACUCUCAGUGUCAUAAAAAGGUAUGCCAGAUCUAACCUUCAGCCUGGACUUAGAAUGUCACAGUACAAAGGAAAUAGUUUUGUUUUUAUUCUUUGUCAUUAACAGGCUGGCUGAGCCAGGAGUUGGCUCUAAGAGUUCCUUAAAAAUGAGAGCAAAUAAUGUAAUGUAUUUAUGUCCUAAUCACAAAAAUGCCAGAAUAGUCUGCAUACUUUGUUAAUAGUCCUAAUGCCUUUCCAGGAAGGACAUACAGAGUAGUCUCAUUGGGGUUACUCUUAGUGUUAAAAUCAUGGAUCUGUUAAAUGUGUUAGGAAAUUAUGAUCUUUACUGUAUAAUUAGUAAGAUCUCUUGAUUCUCAUUGCUUAAGAUCCCAGAAGCUGAUAGGAGCUACUUUCUCUAUUUUACAGUGGGUAAGCUUGGGUGCAUGAAGAUAGUCCUGCCAAAGGCCAGGCAGGGAAUCCUUAACAAAGCCCAGAGCCCUUUAAGUUUCAUCUGAGUACUUUAACUUCACAGCAGCAAUUUUUAUCACCCUUUUAAUUUCACUGAAAAAGCCUUUAAAUACUCAAUAUAAUAACAGGUGACUGAAGGAUGAUCUUGAGGUAACUUGAAAGGAGAAGAUUUUUCUGCUUUCCACCUUAAAAAAGCACGGGUAUAUUAAACAAUGAGAACUGACAACAAAGGUAAGCUAAAAGCUAAACAUAAUAAGACACUGUUUUCAGCAUUUCAAAAGAACUAAAUACAACACAUCAGCAGCUUCAAAAUCCUUUUGAACAAAUGCACUCAGAAACAACUAACUGGCAAACAAAGCUAUUAUGAAGAUGACAGUGUGGCCAGUGAUCUUUUGGCACAUCAACUCCAUAAAGUGUAGGCCUCUAGGAAUACUCCUCACAUUUCAGUAAGUAGAAAAGCAAAUUUAACAACAGAUACUGAGGUCAGGGUAUUAUAAUUUGUUGAUUUUUACAAAGUUUAAUAGAUGAGAAUGUCCCCAAAAUGAGAAGUAUAUCCCUUAUUUAUUGUUGAAGGGAUUUGAUUUACUUUAAAUUUUAAAGGAUCGAUACAGUGAUCAGAAUUUCAGAGUCCCAGUCACAAUACUUUAUAUUUAGAUUAAUUUUUAUUCUGCCAAAGCAAUAUAGAAGCAUCUUAAACAGCACUCAUAACAUAAGAUAGAUGUCCUGUACCCUAUCAUGUAUCAUAAUUUCUAAGUAAUUAAGCUGCUCUCAACAGACAGAAGAUCAUGCUAGUUUACGAAGACUACAAAGCAUGGUUCAAAUAAUACAUGGAAAUAACAACAUCCUUUGAAAAAUACAAGUCUUCUUUAGCUGCUGGUUUUGUGUAACUAUGCAUAAGAAGCUGUAUAGCAGAAAAAAAUCUUUCAGCCUCAUUAAUAAGGAAUGUCACUAAAAAAUAGGUAGGUAAUCAUGUCUCAUUAUCUUUCAAGAAUGUCACAGCAGAAUCAACACAGCUUCAGUGAGUAUACUGCUGGAUUGCUUCCCUUCUCAUAGCUUUCAGAAGGACUAUCAUUAUAUUUUCAGUAACAAAUCUUCACAAUUUGUAGGAUUGUAAAAAUGCUGAAUAAGAAUGUCCAUUAUUAAAAAGGAAGGAAUCAAAUUGAAUAGUUUUUCUAAUGUCAUAAACACCGCUGAGUCCACAACGUCCAUCUUCUAGGCUUUGAUUAAUAGAAGUCAUUAAAAACAUGCUUGAAUUUAACUUUCCUGAAUAGGAGGACUUUAAGGAUUAAUAUGGGCCUCUGGAAAUGAGAUACAAGAUGUUCUGAAGGAUGCUAACCUCUGACUGAACAGGACAGAAGACAACAAACAACAUAAUUAUCUUUAAUGUCACACAAGUGUGUAAUAUCACUCAAGCAUCUCUAGAGCUGUGCGGCAGAGCUGUGCCUAAAUCUGCUCUUCUGAUUCCCUAGUUUGGAUGAGAAAUUGUGUCUGCUCCUCAGAGAAAGAAAAAAAAUGAAGACUGGAGAAGAUGCAGUUAUCCCUUAUCCUCAUGAACCUCAUUUUAGCAGAUAAAAAGAUACUGAGUCUAGAGAGCAGAUGAGCUGGAUCCAUUACCACAUUUGUAUGACUUAUGGUGGUAGAACUGAUUAUGCCUUAUGGCACCAAAAUCUAGUAAUUCUUGCAGACGGCCCUUGUUCACGGUAAUCAGCCUAUUUGAGGGCAUUCUGCUUUUCAGUGUCCUUGUCAAUGCUAGCACAGAGAUAGAAACAUGCUGCUUCAUGCUCAGAGCUCUCUUGGGGCUUUAGUCUCUUCAUUAUGUGUAGUCCAGGUGUGGCCUAUGACAGAGACCUUUGAAGAAACGGUCUAUACAACUUUAUAUAUUUGUUGAUGGGAGGCUUGGGAAGUAGUUCAACAGGAGGAUUUGUGCCUGUAGAAGUUUAUGGGCAUGUUGGUAAUUUGCACCAGGACUUCUGAGCUGCUUGCUAAUAUCCUUGCCAAAAGUCAUGGAGCUCAGAUUUACAUGGAGUAUAUUUGUCAUUAGGAUUGGUAUUCAUCAAAUGUAACCUCGGUAUCUUGUAUCACUAAAUGUUUUGAUGCGAGUUGUUUUAAUUUUUCCAGAGAUAACCCUGGACUUAUCUUUAAAGCACUCAACAUCCAAUCUCCUCCUGUUUUGCCUUUGCUUAGCUCUCAGCUCUCUGUGUUGAGUGUGAUUGGUGACCUUUUUAAAGAAAGGUAUCAUCACUAAAAGUCUCCUCAUUGACAGCAUCCAUACUCUUAUGUUUUGUAGCUAAUGGAUUUUUUACCAUCUAAAAUAUUAUACAAAGUUUUGUCCCAGUAAAAGCUCACAUGCAGCUGUAAAGUGAUGUCUGCAGCUUAAAGGAGUGUCCCCUCUAAGAGUCGCUGGCAUAUGGGUUUUUAUGUAUUAGGGUCUGUAAAUGAGAUACCACUUGCAAAGAUUAACCAUGUUUCAGGGCUGUGUGCCAGAUGGUAAAAGUCAUAUGAGUUGUGGAGUCCUUAGAGAUUUUUUUUUUUUAGUUUGUUUUUGUUUAUCAUAGAGAAUAUGCUUCUGGGUUCAUAAAGUUUCAGCAUGUUCUUUCUAACGCGUCAUGGAGAAAGAAGUAUUAACUCUAUCCUGAAUCCAGGCCACCGACAGCUAUAAAAAUAGCCUUUAAAAGAGGAGGUAGGCAGCCUAUUUCCUGGGAGAAAAAAAUAGCGGUUUUAAAAUACUUUCUGUGUUGAUGCUAAAAUUAAUGGGUUGUUAUUGUUAUUCUCUGAAAUGAUCUAUUCAGAAGAUAAAGCAAUAUUUUUUGAAACGAAUGUAUUUAAAUACUCUGCUCACGCUGUUUGCCUGGUAAUGUAGUAUUGUUCUUACUACAAUGAACUACGCGUGCUUGGGUGUAAGCUUGCAUUCAAAUAGUACCACAGAGCAGCUUCCCCAGUCAGAUAUACAAAUAACUGGAGAUAUGUGAAAGCCAUGGUGAUGUGAGGCCACAGGCCAGGCAAGCCAAUGCAAGUCAUGGCACACAGCCAGCUUUAACAAGACUCUUCAGUGUACCCUGCUUGGGAGUAAGGCUUGCUGUGUAUGGUCUCUAGGAAGGUGAUGAACCCAUGAUUUUUAGCACAGAUAAAAAGGACACACCAUAAGUUAUCUAAUUGGACAGCAGAAUUUCCAUUUUCUUUGCUUGUGGAAAUUUACCUAACAACAACCUCCAUGUUGGAAAGCAGGCAGCAGCCACACAAGGUCGGUGGAGAUGCAGGAUGGAAGGGACCUUGAAGGCAGUGAGGCCCAGGCCGGCCUCGUGUGGGACGAACCGCAGCCCGUACCGCUUCCAUUGCCCGUAAUACGGAGGUUUGCCCUCGUCGCUGCGGUUUCGCUGCGGUUUCAGCCACCGCCGCGGAGCGCCCGGAGUCCGCUGGGGUCGGUCGGCAG
rnacentral:lncRNA from 1 species